GGAUUCCGCACUCUUCUAUUUGAGGAGGUGCGGAAGGGAUGCCGUCCCCUCUGGAGGUGUUCACUGGCCAGCGAGAGGCGUUUGCUCGAGGAAAAUCUUCAUGCUGGUAGCUGAGCCUCCGUGGGUUCUUGAUGGUUAUUAUCUACUCCUCCAAUGUGGUUAAAGAUCCAGCUCUAUUUUUAGAGAUGCUGUUGACAUACCUCGUGGUCUUUGGCUCUUCUUAGGCUCCCAGGAGACAUUUGGCACCUUAGGGCUUUAACAUCUCAGGCACCACUCGCAACUCCGUAACUGCUGUCUGCUACAGGCAGGGACAAGUGCAGAAGCAAGAGAGAGAGGUAACAGCAUCAGUUCAAAGAGAUGCAAAAAGGUAGGAAAUGACACAAGCAGAAGAGCGCUCAACUUGCUGGACUCACGCCUGGUUAUCACUCAAGCUUGUGAUGGCAGCCUCCUGGAUUUCACCAAGCUGAACUCAUUAGCAAACCACUACCACUACCAUUGGUGCUGGAGGGGCAGGCAGACAACCAAGGCCUGAACAAGCAUAUAGAAGUACGUGGAAAUAUCAACUAGUGGUAAACUGCAGUAAGAAGUUCAGAACUGUAGAUCAAAACUAGUCAAUGAGGGAUUGAUUCUGCCAAAUAUUUUCCUUAGCACUGUGGUGUCCAACAUCAGAUUGCACUUUUUUCAUACAGUUUUAAAAACACAUAUAGGUGAUAGGUAGUACCUAUCAUCACAAGCAGGAUUAAACCUUAAUUGCCUGGUGACAGACACUGCUAAAACUAAGAUGAAUGGCUAUCUUAAGUAUUUAAAUGAAGCUUACUAAUAGAUUUUGCUUUCUCUACAUAGCUUUACUUUUCUUUGAAGUUCCAGGCAGCUUCUGAAAACAAUGUCUUGAGCUAUAACACUGAUCCACUGAUCCAAAGUAUAUUUCUUUCUGCCUUGGCAAAUUCCAAACACAUUCUGUAAAAGAACUUCAAAUAAUAGCAUGGAUUUCCAUAGGUACAGUGCCUCAAGUUUUCCAGUGGCACAAAUUCAGGAGUUCACAGAAUCCUAGUCGGAAGGGACCUCUGGAGAUCAUCGAGUUCAUUAACUACUUAACAUGUACAUUUAAAGCCUAUCUGAAUAGUUGAAAAUACUCAAAGGAAAUCAUUAAUACUUGAUGUCUCAGCACAUCUUUGCUAAUGACAAAUUAGAACAAGCCCUGGAAAUUACUUUGGGAAUCUAAAAACACCUGCCUAUCUUAGAUGAUUUGGACAGAAAAGGUUCGUUCUGUAUUAACCAUUACAGAAAUAAUGGCCAAAUCUUGUGUGUAUGUAGAUGCUACAGAUAAAGUAACAGUGGCACAGGUGAUUCUCCUGCUAAUAUUUAGCUUUACUGCAUUCAGAAGUCAGCAAAGCAAAGCUGAAGGCAAAUCCUGCGAGGAGAGGCUGAAGACAAUUGGGUGCCCUGUCUGGAGGAGAGGUGACUUCUCUGCACCCUGCAGCUCCAGAGGGCAGUGCAGGGCUCUGCUCCUGGAAAUGGAGGGCAGGAGGGAGCCGCCCAGAACUGUGCAAGACCAGGGUCAGAUUGGGCACUGGGAAAAUUAACUUACUGUGAGGGUGGUCGGACACUGCAAAGUCUUACCAAUGAGGUGACUGACGCCCCACGCUUCUCAGUGUUCUAACAGCAUUUGGAAAAAGCCCUCAUUACUAUACUAUAGCUUUUGUUUAGCCCUGAAUGUUCAGGCAGUUGGACCUAAUGAUCUCUACAGGUCCCUUCCAACUGAAUCAGUCUGUUCUUUCUAUUAAUUCAUUUUAUUUGGUUCCAACUUCAGUGUGGCUUUCUGAGAGUGUCUGAUACCCUCCUGAAUUGAUGGCCGUAUUGACCUGCUUCUCUGGAAACACAGAUUUCCUUCCAGUUACCUCCUGAAAAGUAAUGAACAUUUUUCUGCUGGAUGUCUUCAGCGUGGUGGCUCCAGGCUGAUGCAGGACAGCAGGUCCCAGUGAGAGAUGGCUGGAGUCUCAGCUGGAGAAAACACUGAUACCAAUACAGCUACCAAAAUUUAUUACCUACCUGGAAUGGAGAGGCAGUGCACUGUGCAGCGUGUGGAACCUUGAAUGCAUUGCACAUUUAUUUAUUUCUAUUCAUGUACUUUCAUAUCCAGUUUGUUCACUACCAACUGCUGAGAAACACCAAAAAUUAAAACAAAUGAAA